ACGACUCUCGGCAACGGAUAUCUCGGCUCUCGCAUCGAUGAAGAACGUAGCGAAAUGCGAUACUUGGUGUGAAUUGCAGAAUCCCGCGAACCAUCGAGUCUUUGAACGCAAGUUGCGCCCGAGGCCACUCGGCCGAGGGCACGCCUGCCUGGGCGUCACGC
rnacentral:rRNA from 1 species